CUGGUACCUUUGGUGCCCGAGUUGUAAUUUGAAGAUAGUUUUCUGGUGCUGGCCCUUGUCUAUGUUCCUUGGAACAGGACGUCACAGAGGGUGAGAAUCCCGUCUGGCGGGGUGUCCAGUGCUUUGUAGAUUUCUAUCGACGAGUCGAGUUGUUUGGGAAUGCAGCUCUAAGUGGGUGGUAAAUUCCAUCUAAAGCUAAAUAUUGGCGAGAGACCGAUAGCGAACAAGUACAGUGAUGGAAAGAUGAAAAGAACUUUGAAAAGAGAGUGAAAAAGUACGUGAAAUUGUUGAAAGGGAAGGGUAUUAGAUCAGACUUGGUGUUUUGUGAUUAUCUUCCCUUCUUGGGUUGUGCACUCGCAUUUCACUGGGCCAGCAUCGGUUCGGGUGGUAAGAUAAUGACAUUGGAACGUGGCACUACCUUCGGGUGGUGUGUUAUAGCCCUUGUUGAUGUUGCCUACCUGGACCGAGGACUGCGGCUUUUGCC
rnacentral:rRNA from 1 species